rnacentral:rRNA from 1 species
CCUACGGAGGCAGCAGUGAGGAAUAUUGGACAAUGGGCGCAAGCCUGAUCCAGCCAUACCGCGUGGGUGAAGAAGGCCUUCGGGUUGUAAAGCCCUUUUGUUGGGAAAGAAAAGCAGCCGGUUAAUACCCGGUUGUUCUGACGGUACCCAAAGAAUAAGCACCGGCUAACUUCGUGCCAGCAGCCGCGGUAAUA